rnacentral:lncRNA from 1 species
GAUGAGAAUUGUAAAAACUCUUAUGGCCUAAACGUUAACAACAUAAACGAAACAAGUAUAAAUAAUAUAAAAAUUUUAAGUGGUGGGAAUAAUAAUAAUAAUAGUAAUAAUAAUAAUAUAGAUGGAACUACGCUGACUAAUGAUUUACAUUUUAAAGGUUAUGAGCCCAACUUACAAUCAAAACAGGUAAAUAGAAAUAUAUACAGUAACGAAAAUCACAAUUUAAAUAUUCCCCACCAUACUCAUGACAGUUAUUUUAAUGCUGGUACGAGAACCCUAGUAAAUACCGUUGCUAAUGUAGACGGUAUUAAUGUAGACGAUAUUAAUGCAGACGACACUAAUACAGACGACACUAAUGCAGACGACACUAAUGCAGACGAUAAGAAUGUAGACGAUACGAAUAUAGACGAUACGAAUGUCAACGAUACGAAUGUCAGCGAUACGAAUGUCAACGAUACGAAUGUCAACGACACUAAUGUAGAUGAUACUAUUGCAGACGAUACUAUUGCAGACGAUACUAUUGCAGACGAUACUAUUGCAGACAAUACUAUUGUAGACGAUACUAUUGCAGACGAUACUAUUGCAGACGAUACUAUUGCAGACAAUACUAACAAAUCUAACGACAAUCCCUCAGAACAAAUACAAACAGAAGAUUCUCAAAAUUAUAAACAAGAGAGUAUCAAAGGUGUUAAUUGUAAUGACAAAAUCAAUAGAAAUGACGACAUCCGUAGUAGUAGUAGUAUUACUAGUAGUAGUAGUAGUAGUAGCAGUAAAGGGAAAAUAUUAAUAAACAUAAAUCAAAGUAGUAAUAAAAAUAACGAACAAAAUAACUAUGAAAAUAAUUCUACUAUGAAUGAGUAUUUGAUAAGUUAUGAUCAUGAUAAGUCUACUGAAAUGUCUAUGUUUAGUAACAUCAAUAAUUGUGUAUCUUUUUUUCAUAUGAAUUGUGAUAAUAUUGUUGGUCGUAACCUGGUGAGUAGUAAUAAUGAUGGAUGCCAUCAUACUAAUGGUGAUAGUAGUAACAUUUCCAGUAACAAUAGUAUAAAUAAUAACACAGAUAAAUAUACAGAGACAUAUUUAAGUAGGAAUUAUAAUCCCACGUUAGUUAACGGUAG